rnacentral:rRNA from 1 species
GUAACGAAUAUUCCGCAAUGGGCGCAAGCCUGACGGAGCGACGCCGCGUGCAGGAUGAAGCCCUUCGGGGUGUAAACUGCUGUCAGGUGUAAGCAAGAAAGUGAGCUAUACCAAAGGAAGGGGCGACUAACUCUGUGCCAGCAGUCGCGGUAAUACAGAGGCCCCGAGCGUUAAUCGGAAUCACUGGGCUUAAAGGGUGCGUAGGCUUUUCCGAAAGUGCCUUGUGAAAUCCCACGGCUCAACCGUGGAAUUGCUUGGUAGACUUCGGAAAUUGAGGUCGGUAGAGGCGGCUGGAACCGUAGGUGGAGCGGUGAAAUGCGUAGAUAUCUACGGGAACGCCAAUGGUGAAGACUUGUCGCUGGGCCGAUUCUGACGCUGAGGCACGAAAGCGUGGGGAGCAAACGGGAUUAGAUACCCGGGUAGUCC